rnacentral:rRNA from 1 species
AUUGAACGCUGGCGGCAUGCCUAACACAUGCAAGUCGAACGAGUGGCGGACGGGUGAGACAUGUCUGGGACACUGCCUGAUGGAGGGGGUUAACUACUGGAAACGGUAGCUAAUCCCGCAUACCAUCAGAUGUGCCCAGAUGGGAUUAGCUUGUGGUGGGGGUAACGGCUCACCAAGGCGACGAUCCCUAGCUGGUCGGAGAGGAGGACCGGCCAGACGGGAACUGAGAAAGGGUCCGGACUCCAAGGGGGGGCAGCAGUGGGGAAUAUUGGACAAGGGGCGAAAGCCGGAUACGGCAAGGCCGCGGGUAGGAGGAGGGCCUUGGGGUGGUAAAGUACUUUCAGCGGGGAGGCGUUACCCGCAGAAGAAGGACCGGCUAACUCCGUGCCAGCAGCCGCGGUAAUUC